GAUGAACGCUGGCGGCGUGCCUAAUACAUGCAAGUCGAGCGAACAGACGAGGAGCUUGCUCCUCUGACGUUAGCGGCGGACGGGUGAGUAACACGUGGAUAACCUACCUAUAAGACUGGGAUAACUUCGGGAAACCGGAGCUAAUACCGGAUAACAUGUUGAACCGCAUGGUUCAACAGUGAAAGACGGUCUUGCUGUCACUUAUAGAUGGAUCCGCGCCGCAUUAGCUAGUUGGUAAGGUAACGGCUUACCAAGGCAACGAUGCGUAGCCGACCUGAGAGGGUGAUCGGCCACACUGGAACUGAGACACGGUCCAGACUCCUACGGGAGGCAGCAGUAGGGAAUCUUCCGCAAUGGGCGAAAGCCUGACGGAGCAACGCCGCGUGAGUGAAGAAGGUCUGCGGAUCGUAAAACUCUGUUAUUAGGGAAGAACAAAUGUGUAAGUAACGAUGCACGUCUUGACGGUACCUAAGCAGAAAGCCACGGCUAACUACGU
rnacentral:rRNA from 1 species